CCUGCCUUUCAGAGGGGGACAACAGUUGGAAACGACUGCUAAUACCGCAUAACGCAUUAGUAUCGCAUGGUACGGAUGCCAAAGAUUUAUCGCUGAAAGAUGGCCUCGCGUCUGAUUAGCUGGUUGGUGAGGUAACGGCCCACCAAGGCGACGAUCAGUAGCCGGACUGAGAGGUUGACCGGCCACAUUGGGACUGAGAUACGGCCCAGACUCCUACGGGAGGCAGCAGUGGGGAAUAUUGGGCAAUGGGCGCAAGCCUGACCCAGCAACGCCGCGUGAAGGAAGAAGGCUUUCGGGUUGUAAACUUCUUUUGUCAGGGACGAGGAGAAGACGGUACCUGACGAAUAAGCCACGGCUAACUACGUGCCAGCAGCCGCGGUAAUACGUAGGUGGCAAGCGUUGUCCGGAUUUACUGGGUGUAAAGGGCGUGUAGCCGGGUUGGCAAGUCAGAUGUGAAAUCUAUGGGCUUAACUCAUAAACUGCAUUUGAAACUGUUGAUCUUGAGUAUCGGAGAGGCAAUCGGAAUUCUAGUGUAGCGGUGAAAUGCGUAGAUAUUAGGAGGAACACCAGUGGGCGARGCGGAUUGCUGGACGACAACUGACGGUGAGGCGCGAAAGCGUGGGGAGCAAACAGGAUUAGAUACCCUGGUAGUCCACGCUGUAAACGAUGAAUACUAGGUGUGCGGGGACUGACCCCCUGCGUGCCGCAGCUAACGCAAUAAGUAUUCCACCUGGGGAGUACGAUCGCAAGGUUGAAACUCAAAAGGAAUUGACGGGGGGCCCGCACAAGCGGUGGAUUAUGUGGUUUAAUUCGAAGCAACGCGAAGAACCUUACCAGGGCUUGACAUCCUGCUAACGAGGUAGAGAUACGUCAGGUGCCCUUCGGGGAAAGCAGAGACAGGUGGUGCAUGGUUGUCGUCAGCUCGUGUCGUGAGAUGUUGGGUUAAGUCCCGCAACGAGCGCAACCCUUAUUGUUAGUUGCUACGCAAGAGCACUCUAGCGAGACUGCCGUUGACAAAACGGAGGAAGGUGGGGACGACGUCAAAUCAUCAUGCCCCUUAUGUCCUGGGCUACACACGUAAUACAAUGGCGGUCAACAGAGGGAUGCAAAGCCGCAAGGCAGAGCGAACCCCGAAAAGCCGUCCCAGUUCAGAUUGUGGGCUGCAACCCGCCCACAUGAAGUCGGAAUCGCUAGUAAUCGC
rnacentral:rRNA from 1 species